AAUGAACGCUGGCGGUAGGCUUAACACAUGCAAGUCGGACGGUAGCAGGAAAUAAGUUUACUUAUUUUGCUGACGAGUGGCGGACGGGUGAGUAACGCGUGGGAAUCUACCCUAUAGUUGGGGACAACGUAUGGAAACGUACGCUAAUACCGAAUACGCUCUACGGAGUAAAGGAGCCCUCUUCAUGAGAGGUUUCGCUAUAGGAUGAGCCCGCGUAAGAUUAGCUAGUUGGUGAGGUAAUGGCUCACCAAGGCGACGAUCUUUAGCUGGUUUGAGAGGAUGAUCAGCCACACUGGGACUGAGACACGGCCCAGACUCCUACGGGAGGCAGCAGUGGGGAAUAUUGGACAAUGGACGAAAGUCUGAUCCAGCCAUACCGCGUGUGUGAAGAAGGCCUUCGGGUUGUAAAGCACUUUCAGUUGGGAGGAAGAUUAAAGUAGUUUAAUACCUGCUUAGUUUGACGUUACCUUCAGAAGAAGGCACCGGCUAAACUCUGU
rnacentral:rRNA from 1 species